CCUAACACAUGCAAGUCGAACGGUAACAGGAAGAAGCUUGCUUCUUUGCUGACGAGUGGCGGACGGGUGAGUAAUGUCUGGGAAACUGCCUGAUGGAGGGGGAUAACUACUGGAAACGGUAGCUAAUACCGCAUAACGCCGCAAUACCAAAGAGGGGGACCUUCGGGCCUCUUGCCAUCGGAUGUGCCCAGAUGGGAUUAGCUAGUAGGUGGGGUAACGGCUCACCUAGGCGACGAUCCCUAGCUGGUCUGAGAGGAUGACCAGCCACACUGGAACUGAGACACGGUCCAGACUCCUACGGGAGGCAGCAGUGGGGAAUAUUGCACAAUGGGCGCAAGCCUGAUGCAGCCAUGCCGCGUGUAUGAAGAAGGCCUUCG
rnacentral:rRNA from 1 species